rnacentral:tRNA from 1 species
GGGAGAUUAGCUCAGCGGUAGAGCGCGCCCUUCACACGGGUGAGGUCACAGGUUCGAAACCUGUAUCUCCCACCA